CUAACACAUGCAAGUCGAGCGGUAGAGAGAAGCUUGCUUCUCUUGAGAGCGGCGGACGGGUGAGUAAUGCCUAGGAAUCUGCCUGGUAGUGGGGGAUAACGUUCGGAAACGGACGCUAAUACCGCAUACGUCCUACGGGAGAAAGCAGGGGACCUUCGGGCCUUGCGCUAUCAGAUGAGCCUAGGUCGGAUUAGCUAGUUGGUGAGGUAAUGGCUCACCAAGGCGACGAUCCGUAACUGGUCUGAGAGGAUGAUCAGUCACACUGGAACUGAGACACGGUCCAGACUCCUACGGGAGGCAGCAGUGGGGAAUAUUGGACAAUGGGCGAAAGCCUGAUCCAGCCAUGCCGCGUGUGUGAAGAAGGUCUUCGGAUUGUAAAGCACUUUAAGUUGGGAGGAAGGGUUGUAGAUUAAUACUCUGCA
rnacentral:rRNA from 1 species